rnacentral:rRNA from 1 species
UGAAUACGAGAUGCUACGGCGUCGAAGCAGUGUAUGUCAGACUUCCAAGAAAAGCUCGCAAUGUCAUAAAUAAAGAAUGCCUGUACCAUAACCGACACAGGUGGGUAGGUAGAGUAUACUAAGGGGCGCGAGAUAACUCUCUCUAAGGAACUCGGCAAAAUAACUCCGUAACUUCGGGAGAAGGAGUGCCUUCUUUAAGAAGGUUGCAAUAACAAGAUCCAAGCAACUGUUUAUCAAAAACACAGGUCUCCGCUAAGUCGUAAGACGAUGUAUGGGGGCUGACGCCUGCCCAGUGCCAGAAGGUUAAAGAAGUUGGUUAGCUUUUGCGAAGCUGAUGACUGAAGCCCUGGUGAACGGCGGCCGUAACGAUAACGGUCCUAAGGUAGCGAAAUUCCUUGUCGGGUAAGUUCCGACCCGCACGAAAGGCGUAAUGAUUUGGAUACUGUCUCGGAGAGGGACUCGGUGAAAUAGACUUGUCUGUGAAGAUGCGGACUACCUGCACCAGGACAGAAAGACCCUAUGAAGCUUUACUGUAACUUGAAAUUGAAAUUGGACUUUAUUUGCGCAGUAUAGGUGGAAGGCGUUGAAAGUAAUCUUGCGGGAUUAGUGGAGCCAUCAGUGAGAUACCACUCCUAUAAUGUUAGAUUUCUAACUUUGGAUCAUGAUCUGGUCAAAGAACAGUUUCAGGCGGGCAGUUUGACUGGGGCGGUCGCCUCCCAAAUGGUAACGGAGGCGUACAAAGGUUUCCUCUGAACGGGUAGAAAUCGUAUCUAGAGUGUAAAGGCAUAAGGAAGCUUGACUGUGAGACCUACAAGUCGAGCAGGGACGAAAGUCGGUCUUAGUGAUCUGACGGUGCUGAGUGGAAAGGCCGUCACUCAACGGAUAAAAGUUACUCUAGGAUAACAGGCUGAUCUCCCCCAAGAGUUCACAUCGACGGGGAGGUUUGGCACCUCGAUGUCGGCUCAUCGCAUCCUGGGGCGGUAGUACGUCCCAAGGGUUGGGCUGUUCGCCCAUGAAAGCGGUACGCAAGCUGGGUUCAGAACGUCGUGAGACAGUUCGGUCCAUAUCCGGUGUAGGCGUUAGAAUAUUGAGAGGAGCCUUCUUUAGUACGAGAGGACCGAGAAGGACAUACCUCUGGUGUACCAGUUAUCGUGCCAACGGUAAACGCUGGGUAGCUAUGUAUGGAGAGGAUAACCGCUGAAAGCAUCUAAGUGGGAAGCCCACCUCAAGAUGAG